rnacentral:lncRNA from 1 species
AAUAAUUACAGUUCACCGAAAUUCUGAGGGUCUAAGCAUGUGUUUGGAGUUCACGGAGUUCCCACUGGGGCUCAGCAGGAUAAAAACGUAACUAGUAUGCAUGAAGAUGCGGGUUCGAUCCUUGGCCUCACUCGGUGGGUUAAGGGCAUGGCGUUGCUGCAAGCUGCGGCUUAGGUGGUAGAUGCGGCUGGGAUCUGGUGUGGCUGUGGCAGGGGCGUAGGCCUGCAGCUGCGGCUCCAAUUGAAUCCUUAGCCUGGAUUCCUUUCAUAUGCUGCACCUGUAGCCAUAAAAAGGAAAAAAACAAUAAUAAUUACAGUUCACAAAACUGCUGGCUUUGAUCCUCUUGUCCCUUCCAACUCAGUAGCCUGGAAACCUCCCAGACCUCUAUCUUAAGAUCUGUGCUUUUCUGUGGCACUUUCUCCCCUCCUCAUUGUUCUGGGUUCAUUAGAUAAAAUUGUCCCAAACUCCUGAUGAGAGAUGAUCUAUUGUGAGAUACCUUUGUGAGGCAGAACACAGGAAACCUCAGGGUCUUAUCUCCUGUGAGCCGUCUGUUUUUCCCCAACAGCCCAAUAAAGGAGACUCCUCAGCUGGCAGGGAGUGGUUGCGAAGGCAGUCACGGUCCCCAGGCCCCUGACCCCACCCUCCACGGCCCUCUCUGUCGCAGGCAGCUGCGUUUCUUGUGGGCUGAGCCAGGGCUGGGAGGGUGAACAUUUCCUUCUCAGAUGGGCAAAGAGGACUUGUCCUUAUGGCUCUCUCAAUCUCUGCAAGGUCUCUGUUCACGUGUAUGUCCUGCUGAGUCGUAGUUCGGAGGAAGAGAAAAAUAGUCCAUUACAGAUGUCGUAAAAUGUCUCUCUCCUCAUCAUGGAUCAAAGCUGUUUUCAUCAUUUCCUUGGCAGGACCUCUUCAUUCUGGUGAGUAGAUUUUCAUCUGCAGUGAAACAUGUUACAUAUCUUAGAAAGUGCAGGAAAAAGUUCUGUAAUCCAGGAAUGGAGGAGCUUGUGUUUUAUUGGGUUU